CCCCCCCCCCCCCGCCGUCACUUUCACUAACCAAGAGAAACUCCUUCCUAGACCGCUAACAGGAUGUACCUACUAAAACCUUACAGAGUACUCUGGUACCUACACUAGGCUCUGAUUAAUGAAUCUCUACGUGCAAUCAAGACUUUGUCUGAAACCAUACCUCAGGAUAUUGUGUACACACGAGUGGUGAGAGAUUUGAUGUAGGACCUGCUCAGGGAAGUAAGUUCCACGCUGGACAGCUUGGUUGAAAGUCGUAUUUCCCCGUACUUGGUACCACUGGACCUGCUCAAAGUUGGCUUGACAGCUGCUACCCCUCUACUGUGCACCUUUCACAAAUCCACCUAGCGUACAGCCUAAGUAGUGCAAUGCCCAUUCACGAUGAAAAAAAAUUAGAACUCGGUUUCCUGUUAAACGUUCCCAUAAUUGUGACACCUCACAUCUAUAGGUUUAGGUCGAUGCUGAACAUUGGUAUUUGAAAGGACGGUAGGCAUUUCCACUUUGAACUAGAAACCUGACACUCCAUCACCUCAACCUCGAACAGCAUGACUCAGAGAUUGAGAUCAUGGACGCUUUCCAGGGUUAUAACUUUGCCUUCGAUUUAGAAAUUGACCAACAAUUACUGAUUGAAGGAACCAAAUUUGUUAAGUUCACACAAAACCCACGUGAACUUACUUUGACGCCCAAGACGCUACAUUGACACAGAUUAUACGACUUUAAUCUGCACAUUGGUCGCCCUGGGGAUGGGAUGGCUCAUCACGGCCGUGAUAGCUUAUUCCGCCUACAGGCGUGUUAAUAAACUCCAAGAUAAGAUGCACUUGCUCACCUACGGUGUGCCUCGUGACCGCGUUCGGGUAGACUCCAAGCGCGAAUGUACCACACCUGUCUAAAGGGGGUGAGCAACAUUUUCUUUGUUAUUCUGUAACCCUAAGAGUAGUUCUCACUUUAGUCUACCUCACAUUUUUUAUCUGAGUGUUGCAUUAUGUCACAUUCUUUAUAAGCUACACACUGAAUGUAUGACCUAAGAAUGUAUUUUAUGAGACUCAAGGUUGCUAUGAAUUUUCUUGGAUGUUAUAUGUUUUUUUUUGGGGUUUUCUGUAUUUUUGUUUCGUACUUGGUCACAUAUUAACUAGUGGUUAUGUGCCGGCCCAGCUCAGUCUGUCAAUGACUCUGUCUGACGCACCAGCACAUUGUAGUACCUCUUAGUUUUAUGGUCCUUGUUUUAGCCCAAAGACUGUCCUGAUCCACCCUUUGGACCAAAAAAGGGGGGAAUCUUGGGACCACAUAGGUCAAUGCGCGUUUGCGAACUAUGGACCUCGUACAUCACCGCGUGAUCCAUAAACUGAACUGUAUGGCCGGCGGUGAGAUGCCUUUGUGUCCCCUCGUGGAGUUAACCGCCCACCGACCUUCCUCCUUCUACACUACUACCUCUCGCAUGGAUGACAUCAUCAUUGCGUACCACCUGCGUGAGUGGCUUCUUCUCGUUAUGCGCGUUGGGGACUAUCCCGUUUCCUAUCCUCUUUGUGCCUGACCAGGAUCAAAGACCAAAGGCGCCAGGAUCCAAGACAAAGACCAAAGACAAAGGCGUCCAAGGAGACCAACGUCCUAAGGGACAAACCCACCUGUGCUUCCGACGAUCAAGUCGACCUACGUUCAUGAGGAACAAACCCAUCUGUGCUUCCGACGAUCGAGCUUUGGGCGCGAUCCCCGAAACCAAAAGGGGGAAUGUUGAGGGUCUGACCUCAUGAGGAAAUUACUAUGCAGUGAUUUUCUCCAAAAUGACUGUGCUUAAAUUGCUCUGAAAAGCAAAUAAUCACAUCAGCGCCAAGAAACUUCAUUUCCCAUGAUGCUUUGCACACGGAAGCAUUGGGUGAUGUCACUGCCUAGUACCAGAAACACGUUCUGCGCAUGUGCGGGAAGCCGUGGAGCUUUUCCCGCGAACUAAGACCAUAAAUCUUCAGCAGAGACAAAGAAACCUCGUUCUUUUGCCCAGGAUACCUGGCGCCCGUGGAGAAACACUCGUGGAGCCAAACAACGGAGAAAGCAUCAAACCGACGGAUGACGCUGAAAACUGUGGAGAAAAACGGAGAACCGUCAAAUCAUAACAGCGGGGGACGCCUUGCUGCUCUUCUGGUGAUCAGAAAACUCAUUUUUUCUCUCUCCUUUUCUUCUCCCGUUUCCUCUAUAGUCCAGAAUAAGCAAUAAAACCGCGCUAUUGCUUAAAAAGUAGCUUCGUGUUUUCCUCUUUCGCUCCCAAUUCGUCCUUCGGGUCAUUUUGAAUAAAUAAACUGCUUAUUGAUCAUUGUUUGGUAUCUUUAAAUGUUUUCUGCUUGGCCACGUGGUUAAACUAAAAGAUAUUAUUCGUGAUUAAUCCUUCGUGUUGUUUCAUGAUCCUUUGAAAUGUUUUGAGUGAAUUUAAGGUUAAGUUACUGAUGAUUCUAAGUGCCUUGGAAGUUAAAGUGCAAGUUGCCACUCACACUUUAGCCAGACAAAGGGGUCAGCCAUCUUGCAUACAGACUCCAUUUUAGAAACACACACACACAUACAUACACACAAAACACCUUGAACAUUAUUUUGAAUAUACAUCCUUUUAUUAUAUCACAUGGUUAUUAUUCAUUUAUGCCACUGUCUAUUCAUUUGACAAAUUGUUAAUUAAACGUUAUAAAAUUCA